CUUCACAUUUCACCGUAAUCGGCCGUUGUCUUUGUAACGUCUUCAUUUAUAGAGUUAUCCAAGCAUUAAGGUCUUCUUCACCAAUCCGCUCACUCUCUCGAACUGAUUAUCAACAUAAACCAGAAACGUAUGGUCUUCAGCUCGGGAACUCCAACGAACUGAUGCAUUUCACGAAAAGGAAUUGCAGCAUAUAGAUAUUUCAUUUCGCUUCAAAACAUAGUAAUCCAUCAGGUUUCGCGUACUGAACUGAAGACUGGACGUACUCCUUAUCCUGUUGUCACAAGGCUUCUUCGUUUUUGGGAACCACGUAGUCUCAAGAAAUGUGGUGAUCUUAUGCGUCCACAUGCCACUCCUUGAUGAGAAGGUCAUUGCAUUUUGUUAUUUUCUCCUAAACUUUAUAUAUUCAAAAUAUUACUGGAUCGUUGUCAUCUUCUCAGUCGACGCUCAUUCAAGGUUCAAUCAAUGUCGACCAAUUGAUCACUUUCAGACAUCUACCAUCUACUUAAGUUAACGUCUAGGGUGAUUAAUCUUCACCAAGGAUAUGGAUUCAUUGAGCUCUGAACUUUGAAGCAAAGAAAAUGAUGACUAGGCAAUUAAGGUUCUUAACAUGAUUAAGCUCCAUGGGAAGUCUAUAUGUGCUAACCGGGCGUCUCAAGAUAAGAAGAGCUUGGAUGUUGGUGCUAACCUUUUUCAUUGGAAACCUUGACCGUGGAAUGGCCGGACAAUGUCUCAGUAAUUGUCAAAUAACAGUCUCUUUAGCUUACAAGAAAUACACCAAAGGCGAGCACCAACAAGUCAUUAAUCUUAUGUGCAACCUCUACAAUGUUUAAAUGCACUGGUCUUCCAAAACCAAACCCGAAUGUUCACAAUGUCUACAUAUACUUCUAUGGUGUCUUAACUGUGUAUUGCUCACAAUUCAUUGUUUACAUGAAUUAUAACUAUUUAAGUUAUAUACACCAUAAUUAAAAAUUCUGAUUUUGUCUUACUUGAAUGAUGUAACGAAAGAGAAGAUGAGAGAUUUAAUGAAACAAAUUUGGGAUGUAAGGUCAAGAUCCAAGCAAUUAAAGGAGAAGAUCACUUCAUUGUGGUUAGAGAACAUUACGGAAGCUUUAUUAGGACAGCUACAUAAAAGCAAAACAAGAGUUUUCAUCUGACAAGCUUUAUUUGGCUGGAAAGCAAAGCAAGAACAAAGGAACAAGAAAAUAUGAGAGCAGAAGAAGUUGCACACGUCAAGACAGAAGAUGAGAAGAGUUGUAGAAAGCAAGAAAGAAAGAACAUCAAGAGAGAGACCAAAUAAAAGGAAGGACUAUAAAACCAAAACAGAACAAGGAGAAUGGAACCACUUCACGUUCUAAACUGAAGAAGAGACUCACAAAGAUUCACAAGAAGAAAACAAGUCUUGGUAAAAUCGCUUUUAGAAAAGGAUAUGGUGGUCCAGUUGCAGCUAAGCUACUUGGAACUAAUAGGAAAGAGAGAAAAAGAAAAGAUAUUUCACUUGCUUAUCUGAGCCAAGCUGCCAAUAACCAACGAGGAAAUGGUUUUCCAUCAAGAUAAUUUGGUAUUUUUACCCUGAAAUCAAUGAAUCUCCCUAUACAUUAAAAGAGAAGUCACUUUAGUGAUUUCUGCUUACGUGGCGAUCAUACAAGACACUCUCGGAUUAAUUCUUAUAAUCUUAUUGGUCGGUAUUUUUUUAAUUUCUUUUUGAAUUAUUUUUUUCUAUCGGCCAAACCUUGUCAAAAACACAUACCAUGUAAUUAAUAUAUUUAUAUACGUUCUUAAC